CCUUCAUUUAGUGCGGCAUGAUGGAAAAAAAACCGAAAUCCCUAUCCCCAAAUACCUAAAUAGCCUCGAUCUUAGCUCUCUCCCAUCCGUUCAUGCUAUUCUCCCUACCUUUGUUUCUUUCCCCAUCUUAGUCUUUCUCUGUUUUGCCUCCACAUCCGACUCUGGCUCCUCCCCUCAGCACUCUCUUUAGCUCUACUUCUCUUCUCUACAGAAGGGGUUGCUUCUGUGAGCCAUGCAGAGAGAGGUGCUGCUGGGAAGUCUUUUUACUUCACUGUGUUGAAUGUUUUCAUUGGUGUCACUUUGUUUAAUACAUUCAAAGGAAAUUCAGCAAGAACCAAACUCCAUUGUUGAAAUACUUGCUAGUAGUAUACCUCAAAAUCCAGCCUUCUUUAUCUCAUACGUUGCUUUAAACUAAGAAAAGGGUUUACAAUGGUAUUUACACAUAUACUCUAUGAUGUGCUGGUGCAACCAAAGAGUUUGCAAUGAUCUCUCAAGAACACAAAAAGUAGUGCAAAGUGGAAUUGAUAUGAUGAAUGGUCUUGGUUCAUUUGUUGUCUCAUUUGAAACUGACACGAUAAUUUUUUAUAAAAGUACCUUAAUUCAGUCAAAAGUACUCAAAAAUUUGAAUAUUUAUAUAUAUUCUAUUACAUGUGUUUCCAUAGACUUUAAGUUACACCUAAAGUUUUUAUAUGUUGUUUUGUAAUACUAAUUUGGUCAAUAAUAGUCUUUGGUAAUUAAUAUAUGUUUUUCAGUUUAAGGUCUCUCUAUUUGUUGUGGUAAUUAUUUCUUUUCAUGUGGUUAUGAACUCAUACUAAUGUUGAUCAUGUAUAUUAUGUAUAAACAGGGGCUUAGGAAGUUCGAACAUACCGACAUAUUUUUGAAGAAUAUCUGUAGGUGCAAGCUAAUUCAUAAUCAUUUCGCGCACAAUCAAGUUUAGAAUUGUAGUCUGCCAAAUUAUUUUUUGCCAUAUUAUAUUUUACUUUCUUUUUAUUUGUGAUUUUAAGUAGUUUAUCGAUCUACAGUAUUUACUAAUGAUUUUUUUUUUUGUUCUUUCAUGUAGUGGUGGAAUCAAUCAUCAUACAAUAGCUUUCAUCAAAA